rnacentral:rRNA from 1 species
AGUGAACGCUGGCGGUAGGCCUAACACAUGCAAGUCGAACGGCAGCACAGGAUCGCUUGCUCUCUAGGUGGCGAGUGGCGGACGGGUGAGGAAUACAUCGGAAUCUGCCCAGUCGUGGGGGACAACGUAGGGAAACUUACGCUAAUACCGCAUACGACCUUCGGGUGAAAGAGGGGGAUCGCAAGACCUCUCGCGCUUGGAUGAGCCGAUGUCGUAUUAGCUAGUUAGCGGGGUAAUGGCCCACCAAGGCGACGAUCCGUAGCUGGUCUGAGAGGAUGAUCAGCGACACUGGAACUGAGACACGGUCCAGACUCCUACGGGAGGCAGCAGUGGGGAAUAUUAGGCAAUGGGCGCAAGCCUGAUCCAGCCAUACCGCGUGAGUGAUGAAGGCCUCCGGGUUGUAAAGCCCUUUUGUUGGGAAAGAAAUCUUUCAGGCUAAUACCCUGCGAGGAUGACGGUACCCAAAGAAUAAGCACCGGCUAACUUCGUG